rnacentral:rRNA from 1 species
CCUACGGGUGGCUGCAGUGGGGAAUAUUGGACAAUGGGGGGAACCCUGAUCCAGCCAUGCCGCGUGUGUGAAGAAGGCCCUCGGGUUGUAAAGCACUUUCAGUGAGGAAGAACGCCUGGUGGUUAAUACCCAUCAGGAAAGACAUCACUCACAGAAGAAGCACCGGCUAACUCCGUGCCAGCAGCCGCGGUAAUACGGAGGGUGCGAGCGUUAAUCGGAAUUACUGGGCGUUAAGCGCGCGUAGGUGGCUUGAUAAGCCGGUUGUGAAAGCCCCGGGCUCAACCUGGGAACGGCAUCCGGAACUGUCAAGCUAGAGUGCAGGAGAGGAAGGUAGAAUUCCCGGUGUAGCGGUGAAAUGCGUAGAGAUCGGGAGGAAUACCAGUGGCGAAGGCGGCCUUCUGGACUGACACUGACACUGAGGUGCGAAAGCGUGGGUAGCAAACAGGAUUAGAUACCCUUGUAGUC